GAGAAUGUGACAUCUGCAAGCCAAGGAGAGAGGCUUCAGGAGAAACCAGCUCUGCUGACACUUUGAUCUCAAGCUCUGGCCACCAGAACUGUGAGCAAAUAAGUAUCUGUUGUUUAGGGCACCCUGUCCAUGGCACCUUGCUCCGAUAGCCCCAGGAAACGAAUCUGCAGCACAGGUUUGUGCUCAGAAGCCCCUACACCAGCUGCUGCGUGAUGGAGAAUAGGAGUCAAAGCACGGAGGCCGGCAGAAAAUCAAGAGGCUGGUCCCACGCACGGGCAAGAGGCCUCGGGGACAUAUUAGCUGAGGAGGAAGCUGAGGUUGGGAGAGGUGGAGGGACUUGCCCAAGUCACACAAAGGACAACUCAGCAGAACUGAGAAUUGGCACCCAGGACAACUGGAGUCCAUCCUGAGCUUGUCACCGCUGGGCUCUGAGACCUCCUGGUGAAGAGGGACAGUGGCAGAGACAGCCUGACCCAGAGAAACCCAGCAACGCUACUUUCUAAGGACAUUUUUCCCUUUCAUUUGGAACCCUGAGCCUCCUGCUUGCCCUGUAGGCCACACCCAGCAAACAGGCGGGUUUCAUUUCCUGGAGAAACCACAGAUGGAAAGUCCCAGCCAUGGGCUCCAUGUGACCUGGUGGCCUUAAGAAGCUCCCCCCACCGCCCCUCAGCCCUUUAAUCAUUUACAAAGCAGGGCCACACAGAGCAUCUAUUUUCUUUCUGGAACAUCAGAGCUGGCUGGGAACUGGGAGAAGAGCUGGAGCAACACCCUGCAUCCAUUUCCUCUUGCUGUAAUAACAACUGAUCACAAGAAUGUGAGCAUGGAGUCUGGAGCAGGAGCAGCUGUUGUGCACUGUGAGGUCGAAGCCGUGUGUUGAGAAUAGCAGAGCAACAAAGCAAUAGGAGCUGGAGCCCCCAGGGGCCAUGAAGCCCCUACCAGCCCUGGACUGCUUAGAUUUACUUGAGCAAGAAAUAAA